rnacentral:lncRNA from 1 species
GGCUAGGGGUCUCAUUGGAGCUACAGCUGUCAGCCCAUGCCACAGCCACAGCAAUGGGGGAUCCGAGUGGCGUCUGCGACCUACACCGCAGCUCAUGCACCGCUGGAUCCUUAACCCACUGAGUAAGGCCAGGGAUCGAACCGGCAACCUCAUGGUUCCUAGUUGGAUUCGUUUCCACUGCACCACGACAGGAACUCCCCUCUUCUCUUUUAAAGAAUGAAAUGUAUUACCCAGAGCUGGUUGGCUUCUGCUUAUGUUAGUAAGAGCUGCUAGUUGCUGAUUUACUGCGUGUCGAGCCUUUUAGGUACAUUAACUCAUUUAGGUCUCACAACAAGCUAGUUUCCCUCCCAGCCGUUUCCUGGCUUUUAACUUAACCUCAUUGAGUCUAUAGCCUAUAAACUGGGCAUAGUAAUAAUAAUAGUAAUAUCUAAAAGAGCUGGGUGAGAUAUAAAUGAGAAGACAAGUGUACAUAAAAUCACCCAGGACUCAAUGAACAGGUCCUCCGUGUCUGUCUUUGUUGCAAGCCAGCGGGACGUGGAGAAACCACAGACCUCCGCCACAGGAGCAGAGACCUGAGACCCUCCUCCCGGCUAAGAGCCUUAGUAACUCACUUCUCCUGGGACCCCUCCUCCAAAGCACGGGAGAGAGGACGAAGCAUAAAGACCCUAAAGAACUGUAAUCGCAGCUAGAAUUUUGCCAAGAUUCCCUCCUGCCUUUUUUUUUGGUUUUUGGGUGGGAUAGCUGACAUUUGCUUCAUUUGCUGGGACCAGAGCUCUGAGGAAUCCUUAUGGCCACUCCCAAGUGGCCAGAGCCGGUAUUUAAAAAACAGUGAAGAAACGCCAAAACAGGAUUUUAGCAACAGGUGUUUAAAAUGUACACAUUGUUCACAUUAAUGCUUUUAGUGCGUACAUGUUCCGUGCCUGUAGAGUUAUCUUGAGAUGACUUUGAAAGUCUGAGUUUGAGGUCCCCCCUCCUGGACGGCCUCCUUAAGCAUCCGGCAGACUGACUCUUAACAUUUUUGAUUACGUAAUGGGAGGCCUUUCAUCCUACCCUCCCUCCCGCCUUCCUUCCAAGUUUGCUUCUAGACAAGUGUGGGGCAAGUUCAGAGGAACCAGGAAAGUGAUGAGUGAUUUUCGAUCUUCGGGGAUUCCAAUUCCGUGUACGUUUGCCACGUGAAGUUGAGCAAGUCCCUUUACUUCCAGCCUCCAGGAACUUACAGUCCCAUCAGAGAGGCAGACCUGGAGUUGAGACGGUCCUGAUAUUGCUGUGGGUGCAGACAAGGAUGUUUUCUUUUCUUUUCUCUUCUUUCUCCCUCCCUCUCUCUCUCGCUUUCUUUCCUUUUCUUUUUCUUUUCUUUCUUUCUUCUUUCUUUCUUUCUUUCUUUCUUUCUUUCUUUCUUUCUUUCUUCCUUCCUUCCUUCCUUCCUUCCUUCCUUCCUUCCUUUCCUUUCCUUUCCUUUCCUUCCGUUCCUUCCUUCCUUUGUUCCUCCCUUCCUUCCUUCCAUCCUUUUAGGGCUGCGCCUGCAGCAUAUGGAAGUUCCUGGGCCAGGGGUCGAAUCAGAGCUGCAUCUACUGGCCUACACCACAGCCACAGCAACACCAGAUCCAAGCCAUAUCUGCAGCUAUGCUGUCACUUGCGGCAACGCCAGAUCCUUAAUCCACUGAGUAAGGCCAGGAUUGGAACCUGCAUCCUUAUGAAUACUAGUUGGGUUCCUAACCAGCUGAGCCACAGUAAACAACUGCGUUCCACACAAAAGUGCAACAUGUGAGAUGCCUAAGCUUUAGCGGCCCUAGGGGAAAAAAAAAAAAAAAAAAAAAAAAAAGAAAGAAAAAAAGGAAGAUUUGAAGGAGUUGGGAUCCCUGGACCAGGUGAAGGCUGUGGGGCAAGUCAUCCAAGGCAGUCAUUUAUUUUGCAGAAUUGGCUCUCAACCACCAGGGGAUAUUGGGAGCUGUGUGGGGGCCGGAGAGGCCCCAAGACCUCUGGCGUGCAGGCCUGUGCUGCAAACCAAGCUUGUCUCCCUUCCCCACCCAUGCCUGUAGUGUCCCUGUUGAGAAAUGCAGAGCCAGGCACCAGGCAGGUGUUUUGUAACAAACCCAAGGGGUGAGUGGUAUUAUCUCCUAUUUUAUAGGCCAAGACCUGGAGAAAUCACCCAGCUAACAGGCAGGCAGAUCAGUCAGUAUUUGAAUGCAGGUCUACUGAUUCCAGAGCCCAGGCCCUUAGCUGAUCUGGUACACUGCUGCCCCUGCCCUGGGGACACCCAGCCUUUUAAUUAACCUGACAGCCCAAGGAACUUAAAUUAGAUGUAAGGGAGAACUUUCUGAUAUGUUCCUCCCCAGCCCCCCACCCCCCAAUCUUAAAAUUAGAACUAAAGUGGGGCAUUCUAGAGCGGGGCUUUUCAAACUGUCAUCCAGAACUCACAGUCAUGGUAUCAGCUUAAUGGGUUGACAUGUUUGGGGGGGGGAAAAAAAAAGGGGAAGGGACAUGGGGGUAGGGGAUUAAGAAAUGCAAACCUGGAGUUCCCACUGUGGCUCAACAGGUUAAGAACCUGACAUAGUGUCUGUGAAGUUGUGGGUUUGAUCCCUGGCCUUGCUCAGUAGGUUAAGGAUCUGGCGUUGCUAUGAGCUGCAGCAUAGUUCGAGGGUGUGGCUUGGAUCCAGCAUUGCUGUGGCUGUGGCGUAGGCCCCAGUCACAGCUCUGAUUUGACUCCUUGGCUGGGAACUUCCCUAUGCUACAGGUG